GACGAACGCUGGCGGCAUGCUUAACACAUGCAAGUCGAACGAGAAAGUUCCUUCGGGAGCAAUUAAAGUGGCGCACGGGUGAGUAACGCGUAGACAAUCUGCCCUUCAGUCUGGGACAACUUUUCGAAAGGAGAGCUAAUACCGGAUAACAAUGCAUGACACAAGUUGUAUAUUUGAAAGCUUUAUGUGCUGAAGGAGGGGUCUGCGUCCCAUUAGCUAGUUGGUAGGGUAAAGGCUUACCAAGGCAACGAUGGGUAGCGGGUUUGAGAGGACGAUCCGCCACACUGGAACUGAGACACGGUCCAGACUCCUACGGGAGGCAGCAGUGGGGAAUAUUGCACAAUGGAGGAAACUCUGAUGCAGCAAUGUCGCGUGAGUGAAGAAGGCCCUUGGGUCGUAAAGCUCUUUUAUGGGGGAAGAUGAUGACGGUACCCCAAGAAUAAGCACCGGCUAACUAUGUGCCAGCAGCCGCGGUAAUACAUAGGGUGCGAGCGUUGUUCGGAAUUACUGGGCGUAAAGGGCGCGCAGGCGGAAUAGUAAGUCGGAGGUGAAAGCCCGGGGCUCAACCCCGGAGGGUCUUUCGAAACUACUAAUCUAGAGAGGGUCAGGGGCCGGCAGAAUUCCUGGUGUAGAGGUGAAAUUCGUAGAUAUCAGGAGGAAUACCGGUGGCGAAGGCGGCCGGCUGGGGCCACUCUGACGCUGAGGCGCGAAAGCGUGGGGAGCAAACAGGAUUAGAUACCCUGGUAGUCCACGCCGUAAACGAUGAGCACUGGACGUCCGGAGGGUUCGACCCUUCUGGGUGUCUCAGCUAACGCAUUAAGUGCUCCGCCUGGGGAGUACGGUCGCAAGACUAAAACUCAAAGGAAUUGACGG
rnacentral:rRNA from 1 species